rnacentral:rRNA from 1 species
ACCAAGGCGACGACGGGUAGCCGGCCUGAGAGGGUGACCGGCCACACUGGGACUGAGACACGGCCCAGACUCCUACGGGAGGCAGCAGUGGGGAAAAUUGCACAAUGGGCGAAAGCCUGAUGCAGCAACGCCGCGUGAGGGACGACGGCCUUCGGGUUGUAAACCUCUUUUAGUAGGGAAGAAGCGAAAGUGACGGUACCUGCAGAAAAAGCACCGGCUAACUACGUGCCAGCAGCCGCGGUAAUACGUAGGGUGCAAGCGUUAUCCGGAAUUAUUGGGCGUAAAGAGCUCGUAGGCGGUUUGUCGCGUCUGCUGUGAAAACUGGAGGCUCAACCUCCAGCCUGCAGUGGGUACGGGCAGACUAGAGUGCGGUAGGGGAGAUUGGAAUUCCUGGUGUAGCGGUGGAAUGCGCAGAUAUCAGGAGGAACACCGAUGGCGAAGGCAGAUCUCUGGGCCGUAACUGACGCUGAGGAGCGAAAGCGUGGGGAGCGAACAGGAUUAGAUACCCUGGUAGUCCACGCCGUAAACGUUGGGAACUAGAUGUGGGGGCCAUUCCACGGCUUCCGUGUCGCAGCUAACGCAUUAAGUUCCCCGCCUGGGGAGUACGGCCGCAAGGAGAAAACUCAAAGGAAUUGACGGGGGCCCGCACAAGCGGCGGAGCAUGCGGAUUAAUUCGAUGCAACGCGAAGAUUUUUACCAAGGCUUGACAUAUACGAGAACGCUGCAGAAAUGUAGAACUCUUUGGACACUCGUAUACAGGUGGUGCAUGGUUGUCGUCAGCUCGUGUCGUGAGAUGUUGGGUUAAGUCCCGCAACGAGCGCAACCCUCGUUCUAUGUUGCCAGCACGUAAUGGUGGGAACUCAUAGGAGACUGCCGGGGUCAACUCGGAGGAAGGUGGGGAUGACGUCAAAUCAUCAUGCCCCUUAUGUCUUGGGCUUCACGCAUGCUACAAUGGCCGGUACAAAGGGCUGCAAUACCGUAAGGUGGAGCGAAUCCCAAAAAGCCGGUCUCAGUUCGGAUUGAGGUCAGCAACUCGACCUCAUGAAGCCGGAGUCGCUAGUAAUCGUGGAUCAGCAACGCCACGGUGAAUACGUUCCCGGGCCUUGUACACACCGCCCGUCAAGUCAUGAAAGUCGGUAACGCCCGAAGCCAGUUGCCCAACCGCAAGGAGGGAGCUGUCGAAGGUGGGAUCGGUGAUUAGGACUAAGUCGAAACAAGGUAGCCGUACCGGAGGGUGCGGCUG